GGGGAUGCAGAGGGCCCCUCAAAGGCCUCUGGGCUCCAAAGGCCCCUAGUCGUGCUUGAGGGUGAGCCUUUUGAAGAGCUAC
rnacentral:pre_miRNA from 1 species